GACGAACCGAGCGAACGUUGUUCGGAAUCACUGGGCUUAAAGGGCGCGUAGGCGGGUGCUCAAGUCCGUGGUGAAAUCCUCCGGCUCAACCGGAGAACUGCCUCGGAUACUGGGUGCCUCGAGGGUGGUAGGGGUAUGCGGAACUAUCGGUGGAGCGGUGAAAUGCGUUGAUAUCGAUAGGAACUCCGGUGGCGAAGGCGGCAUACUGGACCACCUCUGACGCUGAGGCGCGAAAGCCAGGGGAGCAAACGGG
rnacentral:rRNA from 1 species